UACGUAGGGACCAAGCGUUGUUCGGAUUUACUGGGCGUAAAGGGCGCGUAGGCGGCGUGUUAAGUCACUUGUGAAAUCUCUGAGCUUAACUCAGAACGGUCAAGUGAUACUGAUGUGCUAGAGUGCAGAAGGGGCAACCGGAAUUCUUGGUGUAGCGGUGAAAUGCGUAGAUAUCAAGAGGAACACCUGAGGUGAAGACGGGUUGCUGGGCUGACACUGACGCUGGAGGCGCGAAAGCUAGGGUAGCAAACGGG
rnacentral:rRNA from 1 species